rnacentral:rRNA from 1 species
UACAGAGGGUGCAAGCGUUGUUCGGAAUUACUGGGCGUAAAGCGCGUGUAGGCGGCUUUUCAAGUCUCGUGUGAAAGCCCUGGGCUCAACCCAGGAAGUGCGCGAGAUACUGACGAGCUGGAGUAGCGGAGAGGAUGGCGGAAUACCCGGUGUAGAGGUGAAAUUCGUAGAUAUCGGGUGGAACACCUGUGGCGAAGGCGGAUCUCUGGGCCGAUACUGACGCUGAGGAGCGAAAGCGUGGGGAGCGAACAGG